GAGGGUAUAGCCCAGUGUUAGAGCAUAUGCUUAGCAUGCAUGAGGUCCUGUGUUCAAUUCCCAGUACCUCCG
rnacentral:tRNA from 1 species